GGAAGAACUUUGUCACCCCAUUGACCACCACAGUUGAUUCAGCCGAUCUGGCUGGCUGAGAGGGUGUCUGCUAUCUCCAUUAGCACUCCACAAGUCACUCCUGAAGUUUUGCACUCAGAUGACAACCUUCGCCAAAUGGUCUCCAGUUCAGCAGAUCUGAGUAGCUUCCCUCCCCAGCUAGAACCUCCAAAUAAGCUCUCAAAAUCCAAAAAGCCAUGAAAUCUGAAACACUGGUUCAAACCAUUCAGGCAAGAGAUGCUCAACCUGUGU
rnacentral:snRNA from 1 species